CGUGGCAUAUGGAGGUUCCCAGGCUAGCAGUCUAAUCAGAGCUGUAGCUGCCAGCCCACGCCAGAGCCACAGCAACGCUGGAUCCGAGCUGCAUCUGUAACCUACAUCACAGCUCAUGGCAACGCCAGAUCCCCAACCCACUGGGUAAGGCCAGGGAUUGAACCCGCAACCCCAUGGUUCCCAGUCGGAUUUGCCAACCACUGAGCCACGACGGGAUCUCCUGCACUUGCGUUUUCUAAUUCAUCCUACCAAUAGUGUCCUGAGGUAUAUAUAAUUGUUCCCAUUUUACAGAUGAAGACACUGAGGUUCAGAGAUGUUCAGCGAUUUCCCCCGAGUCACAGGGAGCAGGUUUCUCUUCUUCCAGACCUGCACCAUGACACCUGAUGGAUUUUUCUCUCCAGAACAUCCCUGGGAAUCAUUUCUGUCAGAUGCUUCACUGGAUGUCCCUUGGUUUUUACGCUCAUCUAUCCCCUUCUCCUCGAACCCCACCUCCCUGAAAUGGCAAUUUGCUAUUUUAAUUAUAGUUUCUCUUGCCGCACUUGAGGCUUUUUUCCUAUUGCGCUCCUCUACCUUGCUUAGAUUUUUAUCCUUUCUUCCAGGGCAGAGAAUUCAUUAAGAUUUCUAGAUUCCUCCAAUUUGCUUCCUUGAUGGUGAAUAAUUCUUCUUAGACUGUGUACAAUUCUGAUUGUUCAGAUGCUGAAUUAGGUGGCUGAGCAGCGGGACCAGGGUGCCCCGUGUGAACUGGUGGCCCCAUCCAAGUGCAGACUGAAUCAAUGCCCCAGAGCUGUGAGUCCCUGGGUCUGUCUGGAGUCCUGCAAUGGACCAUCUCCGAGACCUGAGGGGUGGCCCUAUGACAGCUGACCACAGGCCUCUGCCUCCUUUGCCAACAGGUGAGGGGUCCCAGGACUGUCUCUGGGUUCCAUGAGUUGCUCCUUGCAGGCUGGGCUGGGCUGGCCUUGACCAUAAACCAUCUGGGUCACCUGCAGCUGUUCCCCAGGUGCUUGCUGGGCCUGUGGGCUGAGGCUGCAGCUGGAAAUGAGUCUGGGCAGGAAGUGAACAGGGAAGUAGCUCAUGUGACCGGGAAGCUGAUGAGGCCUCCCAGCGAAGGGAGCACCAGAAAGCAGUUCUCCAAGGCAUUCCAGGCAUAGAAGCUGAGCCACUCACCACAGAGGGGGGCCACUUGAAAGCUGCUGCCCAUCCUGUUUACGCUCACAAACCUGCUCCUGUUCUCUCCUUCAGGAAGGUAUGUAGGUCAGUACUGGUGAAGGUCAUUUGCUGUGGGAGUGUGUAAACGUCAACUUUGAGCCUGGCUCAGUCAGAAACACGGGGUGCUCCAAGGUGACUUCAAAGUCCUGGGGAGAGCAUGGCACACUGAUAGCUGUGUAACCCGGGUGGGUCCCAUUACCGCCUGACCCUCAGGGCUGACAGAAUAUGAGGUCCCCGAAAGGCCGGUCAUGGGCCACACAGAUAUGAUUCCACGGGCGAGGACAGGCAAGGGACGUCAUCCUCCUGUUUGGGCCUUGCUCGCCUCAGUCUGUAAGGGAUUCAAGGCAAGAGACCCAGCUGGAAAAUGAAAAAAGGAAAAACAUUGAGAUCCUAAAGCAUAAGAUAAGGUCUGAGAUUGUCUCCAAUGGGAAUAAAGGAAUUAACAGGAGGGUGACCUGUAAAGCCAGGUGAAUAGAGAGAAUACAGAGGCAGAGGCCCUGGAGCAGGCUUCUCGGGGAACGUGCAAGAAGCAGACAAGCCUAUGCAUUCCCAGAGAACUUGCCUUCUCAUCCCAGAGGGUUCCUGACUUGGGAACGAGCCGGCACAGGCCUAUCCUAGAUGUGCAGAAUACCAAAUAAGAUGGCAGAAAAUAAGGCAAAAGUUUCCCAAAGUUGGGGGUCAUAUCAUUUUGUAGCAUGAUUCUGACACUCACUAGGUAGGCUUUGUAAAUUUUGCUCUUCUAUAUGAAAGAUUGGUUUGUGGGGUUGCCUCUUAUACUUCCUUUAAUAGGUCAAGGGCAGGAGCAGGGUCAGGGAGUGGCUUGGAGAGCUGUUUUUCUCUUUUCCUCUUUAUUAGCCAUUCCUCCCCACCCCAAAACACUAAAUACAAAUAAUGUUUUUUUGACCUGGGCUGCUGGUGUAAAUCAACUUUGAUAAAACAUGAAUUCAAGCCCCUUUAGA
rnacentral:lncRNA from 1 species